AAUAGCUGCAGAAAACAUCAACAAGGAAAGAACAUUAUGGGGGACUUCAUACUAGUGUCAUAUUUCCUUGCUUUUAGUGAGUGGGUGACUGUAAUAAAGGAUAUUUUUUCUGGCAUGCACUGAAAUUGAGAUACUAAAAGAUUUUGCAAAUCAAGUCAGCUAAACACGAAACGCGAGGAUUAGUGGCAGUCUGGUCUGCUCAGAAAAGAAUGCAUACAGAGAAUAAAUAAUACAACACUAUUAUAUAUAGUAUUUUCAUAGUACAGGGAAAGGAGUACCUCGGAAAAGAUGAAGAAAAUCAUUGCAUUGCUUUGCUUCUUAUAUUUACAUGCUCGCUGGAAUGUUUUUGUUAAAAUAUGCAAUUCCUGAUUGGAGCUCUGUUUUAAAACAGCACAGCAAUCUAAUACUUUAUUAUUCAGGGGAAACUGUUCUAUUGUCUACUUUAUGCAUCAGAGAGAAAGAAAUUAAGAAAGUCUUCUAUUUGCCAUCCUGAUGCCCAGGAACUCUGUUUAAAUCAAGCUACUUAGAUUCAAUGUCCAGAUCUGGGUCAGUGACAUCACAGCUACAAGAAUAUAAUUGCUUCUGAUCUGGUGAAAAUCUUCAAGUUACAUAAAUAUUCAUCUCAGCCGCCUGAAAGUUGAACAGAUUCAAAGGUAUUUCAAAGAAGCUGGAGAAAACCUACACAAAUACAGAGAAGACAUGCAAACUCUGCAUAGAAGCCCCCCUUCCCCAGCUGAGAACUGAACUAGAGAAAAUCUGUUGGUAU